UGUAAGAUGUUAUACUGUAUGGACUCAGAUGCAUUAUAUGAUUAUAUUUAAUAACUAAUUAAAUAAAAAUAACAAUCAUAAUAUAAAUGGCCUGUCCAUAUUAAUAAUAAUAAUGAUCAUGCAGGUUCAUUAUUUCAUGUGUCAUAGUGCAGCGGUCCCCAACCCCCUGGUCAUUUGGUACCAGUCCGCAGAGAAAGAAUAAAUAACUUACAUUAUUUCCGUUUUAUUUAUUAAACAAUGAACGAUGUUUUAUUUUGAAAAAGGACCGGAUUCCCUCUGUUACAUCCGUAAAAGUAUGUUCGAAACAACAACUCUGCCGGUGUUCUGGAUUAAAGUCACAUGGACAUUAGCAACACACUUCGGGUGUCAUUGUCUCCCAUUACUCCUAGAUGGGACCGUGUCGUUGCAGAGAAACAAGCUCAGGGCUCCCACUGAUUUAGCGAUACGGUCUUACCUCUCUCUUCUGAACUGCCGGAUGAAGCCAGCCUAUAUGGACUCGAGCCGUAAAGAUUAGACUCUUUAGUAUUCAGGCCAAUAUUUGUGAUGACAGCUACACCUUCCAGGAAAGAGAGAGAGAGCCAAUAUUUAAUGUUAAACAGCAUUGAUCUUAUUCUCUAAAAGCAGUCUGCAGUGGUAGUGCUUUCUCUAUCCCAAUAUGCAGCUUCUCCUCUGUCAAGGACAAGAGUUUGACAAAAUUACAUGAAAAACAUUCAAUAAAAGAAAUGUCAUGGGUAUUUAGAACUUGACAACAGAUGCA